rnacentral:rRNA from 1 species
CCAGACUCCUACGGGAGGCAGCAGUGAGGAAUAUUGGUCAAUGGGGGAGAUCCUGAACCAGCCAAGCCGCGUGAGGGAAGACGGCCCUAUGGGUUGUAAACCUCUUUUGUCGGAGAACAAAACCCGGGACGUGUCCCGGACUGCGUGUAUCCGAAGAAAACGCAUCGGCUAACUCCGUGCCAGCAGCCGCGGUAAUACGUAGGUGGCAAGCGUUGUCCGGAUUUACUGGGUGUAAAGGGCGUGCAGCCGGGCUGACAAGACAGAUGUGAAAUCCCGCGGCUCAACCGCGGAACUGCAUGUGAAACGGUCAGUCUUGAGUACCGGAGAGGUCAGCGGAAUUCCUUGUGUAGCGGUGAAAUGCGUAGAUAUAAAGAAGAACACCAGUGGCGAAGGCGGAUGACUGGACGGCAACUGACGGUGAGGCGCGAAAGCGUGGGGAGCAAACAGGAUUAGAUACCCCUGUAC